rnacentral:rRNA from 1 species
AGGCGACGACGGGUAGCCGGCCUGAGAGGGUGAUCGGCACAUUGGGACUGAGAUACGGCCCAGACUCCUACGGGAGGCAGCAGUGGGGAAUAUUGCACAAUGGGCGGAAGCCUGAUGCAGCGAGCCGCGUGAGGGAUGACGGCCUUCGGGUUGUAAACCUCUUUCAGCAGGGACGAAGCGUAAGUGACGGUACCUGCAGAAGAAGCACCGGCUAACUAUGUGCCAGCAGCCGCGGUAAUACGUAGGGUGCGAGCGUUGUCCGGAAUUACUGGGCGUAAAGAGCUCGUAGGCGGUUUGUCACGUCGUCUGUGAAAUCCUAGGGCUUAACCCUGGACGUGCAGGCGAUACGGGCUGACUUGAGUACUACAGGGGAGACUGGAAUUUCUGGUGUAGCGGUGGAAUGCACAGAUAUCAGGAAGAACACCGAUGGCGAAGGCAGGUCUCUGGGUAGUAACUGACGCUGAGGAGCGAAAGCAUGGGUAGCGAACAGGAUUAGAUACCCUGGUAGUCCAUGCCGUAAACGGUGGGCGCUAGGUGUGGGGUUCCUUCCACGGGCUCCGCGCCGUAGCUAACGCAUUAAGCGCCCCGCCUGGGGAGUACGGCCGCAAGGCUAAAACUCAAAGGAAUUGACGGGGGCCCGCACAAGCGGCGGAGCAUGUGGCUUAAUUCGACGCAACGCGAAGAACCUUACCAAGGCUUGACAU